rnacentral:tRNA from 1 species
GGGGUCGUAGCUCAGUCCGGUAGAGCACCUCCCUUGCAAGGAGGGGGCCUCGGGUUCAAAAUUGGAAAAGAGCCCA